rnacentral:piRNA from 1 species
UAGCCUGGGAUGAAGCUUCGUCA